UACAGAGGGUGCAAGCGUUGUUCGGAAUUAUUGGGCGUAAAGCGAGUGUAGGCGGGAUCGUAUGUCGGGCGUGAAAGCCCUCAGCUCAACUGAGGAAGUGCGCACGAAACUGCGGUUCUUGAGUGUCGGAGAGGGUGACGGAAUUCCCGGUGUAGAGGUGAAAUUCGUAGAUAUCGGGAGGAACACCAGUGGCGAAGGCGGUCACCUGGACGAACACUGACGCUGAGACUCGAAAGCGUGGGUAGCAAACAGG
rnacentral:rRNA from 1 species